UACGGGGGGGGCAAGCGUUGUUCGGAAUUACUGGGCGUAAAGGGCUCGUAGGCGGCCAACUAAGUCAGACGUGAAAUCCCCAGGCUCAACCUGGGAACUGCGUCUGAUACUGGAUGGCUUGAAUCCGGGAGAGGAUAGUGGAAUUCCCAGUGUAGAGGUGAAAUUCGUAGAUAUUGGGAAGAACACCGGUGGCGAAGGCGGCUAUCUGGCCCGUAAUUGACGCUGAGGCGCGAAAGCGUGGGGAGCAAACAGG
rnacentral:rRNA from 1 species